UGAUGAUUGGAGCUGGCAAUGGGGGCAGGGUAUAAAAUCUUGACGAGGCCUCACAAGCCGGUGAGGUGGUUCGUCUGAGAGCCCAUACCAGAAAUAGCUGAAAACAUUCUAAGCAAGAGAACAAACGAAAAUUAUCACACGAUGGUUAUCUAUAUGUGUUUGAUAAAUGUAGCAAAAGCGACACUAAAAACCAUGAAGUAGUAAAAGAAGUGAACGGGCAUUCUCAAGGUGCUCAGCAUCCCACAUGGAUGUCUACAUCGAUGCUUUGUCGGAAGACUUACCUGAUGAACGUCAACCAUUAAUAAAUUGGUUCGAAGAUAAUUAUGUUGGGAGGCCAAUGAGACAAGACAAUGGGGAACGUUCACCACCUUUUCCUACAGAAAUGUGGAAUCUGUACAGUCGAACCAUAGCUGGUGAGGACCGAACAAUCAUGCUGAAGCUGCACACAGAAAAAUAUAUGCAGAACUAGGAAUUAACCAUCCUGUUAUAUGAGGAGAAUUCAAAAAGGGCGUGAUGCGUAUUAUGAACAGUUGAUUGCCGGGAAUACUCCAGAUCGAAAAUGUCUGAAAUACAUUAGGGCCGAUGAACGCAUUUUGAAUAUCAUACAACAGUUUGAUUCAUGGGAACCACUGGAAUAUUUGUGUGGU